rnacentral:lncRNA from 1 species
UGGGGAAACGAAGGCAACAGUGUUGGAGAAGAAAGUGUAGCUCUUUUCCUUAGAGCAAUUGGACUAAGAGAGUACUCGCGUUAUCUUUGUUUCAACUUUCCGUUCACUCACGAGAGAGCACUUCUUGGACACUUGAGUUUUUUCCCUUGGAAUGCUGACCCGUCUAACUUUAAGACUUGGAGACAAGGUAGGACUGGCUACCCUUUGGUUGAUGCAGGAAUGCGAGAACUUUGGGCUACAGGAUGGAUGCAUAACCGAAUCAGAGUUAUAGUUUCAAGUUUUGCUGUGAAAAUGUUGCUUCUACCUUGGAAAUGGGGAAUGAAGUAUUUCUGGGACACACUUUUAGAUGCAGACCUUGAAUGUGAUAUCCUCGGCUGGCAGUAUAUCUCAGGAGGCUUACCAGACGGUCACGAGCUUGAGCGCUUGGAUGAUCCUGAGGUUUGUCUCAUUUUUCUUCAAUAGUUUGUUUGUGCAUCAAUCAGAUGUGACCAUCUUGUAUUCAAUAAUUCAUUCAACAUAACCAGUAUCACACAUCACAUUGUGCUAUAACGUUUGAUUUUACUGCUGCAAAAUUCAUUUGUUUCUUUAGUCCCAUCCUCAUGUGCCAAUUUUUUAGAUCUGGGUAGUUUGAUUACAAUUAACAGCAUAAAUUAAGUAGAAAAUAAUUUUGUACACAGUAGCAAAAACUUUAUAUGGAAAAAUUUAUCUUUUUUCUUUUCUUACUCCAAUGCUUUUAUAUCUGGCAAAAUUUAUCCUUUCAUAUUAAACUUCACCACUCGUUAAAUAUCUAAUUUGCUUUUAACACAGAUUAUUGGAUGUUUUGAUUUUUUGCUUAGAUGCAUUUCCCUCGUAGGCCCUGUUUGAAUAAACGAACUUACUUAAGCGCUUAUUCACGUAAGUGCUUAUAUAUAAGCUAUUUCUAUAAUUAAAGAUAUAAUAAAUUUAAACCAUUUUCAUAUAUGUUAUAAGCUAUUUUCGUAAACUAUCUUGGAGAUCUUAUGGAAAUAAACAGAUAACAGCUUGUGGACAUGUUAUAGGCUGUUUCCGAAAUCUCUCCCAAAUAAUCUCACAAAAGUGCUUAUGUCAGUCGAUAAACUCAAAUAAACCAGUCCAAACAGUCCCGAAGUGAGAUUGGUAUUACUUUUUCGUAUAUAGGAAAUAAGUUUUAUUAGGCUUGUUUGUUGGACUAAAUGUUACCAAAAAGAUCCUCACAACAUGAGUAAAUACCGUG